rnacentral:rRNA from 1 species
GAUGAACGCUGGCGGCGUGCCUAAUACAUGCAAGUCGAGCGAACAGACGAGGAGCUUGCUCCUCUGACGUUAGCGGCGGACGGGUGAGUAACACGUGGAUAACCUACCUAUAAGACUGGGAUAACUUCGGGAAACCGGAGCUAAUACCGGAUAAUAUAUUGAACCGCAUGGUUCAAUAGUGAAAGACGGUUUUGCUGUCACUUAUAGAUGGAUCCGCGCCGCAUUAGCUAGUUGGUAAGGUAACGGCUUACCAAGGCAACGAUGCGUAGCCGACCUGAGAGGGCGAUCGGCCACACUGGAACUGAGACACGGUCCAGACUACUACGGGAGGCAGCAGUAGGGAAUCUUCCGCAAUGGGCGAAAGCUUGACGGAGCAACGCCGCGUGAGUGAUGAAGGUCUUCGGAUCGUAAAACUCUGUUAUUAGGGAAGAACAAAUGUGUAAGUAACUAUGCACGUCUUGACGGUACCUAGUCAGAAAGCCACGGCUAACUACGUG